UGCAAGUCGAACGAUGAAGCCCAGCUUGCUGGGUGGAUUAGUGGCGAACGGGUGAGUAACACGUGAGCAACCUGCCCCUGACUCUGGGAUAAGCGCUGGAAACGGCGUCUAAUACUGGAUAUGUCCCGUCACCGCAUGGUGUGCGGGUGGAAAGAUUUUUCGGUUGGGGAUGGGCUCGCGGCCUAUCAGCUUGUUGGUGAGGUAAUGGCUCACCAAGGCGUCGACGGGUAGCCGGCCUGAGAGGGUGACCGGCCACACUGGGACUGAGACACGGCCCAGACUCCUACGGGAGGCAGCAGUGGGGAAUAUUGCACAAUGGGCGGAAGCCUGAUGCAGCAACGCCGCGUGAGGGAUGACGGCCUUCGGGUUGUAAACCUCUUUUAGCAGGGAAGAAGCGAAAGUGACGGUACCUGCAGAAAAAGCACCGGCUAACUACGUGCCAGCAGCCGCGGUAAUACGUAGGGUGCAAGCGUUAUCCGGAAUUAUUGGGCGUAAAGAGCUCGUAGGCGGUCUGUCGCGUCUGCUGUGAAAUUCCGAGGCUCAACCUCGGGCUUGCAGUGGGUACGGGCAGACUAGAGUGCGGUAGGGGAGAUUGGAAUUCCUGGUGUAGCGGUGGAAUGCGCAGAUAUCAGGAGGAACACCGAUGGCGAAGGCAGAUCUCUGGGCCGUAACUGACGCUGAGGAGCGAAAGGGUGGGGAGCAAACAGGCUUAGAUACCCUGGUAGUCCACCCCGUAAACGUUGGGAACUAGUUGUGGGGUCCUUUCCACGGAUUCCGUGACGCAGCUAACGCAUUAAGUUCCCCGCCUGGGGAGUACGGCCGCAAGGCUAAAACUCAAAGGAAUUGACGGGGACCCGCACAAGCGGCGGAGCAUGCGGAUUAAUUCGAUGCAACGCGAAGAACCUUACCAAGGCUUGACAUACACGAGAACGGGCCAGAAAUGGUCAACUCUUUGGACACUCGUGAACAGGUGGUGCAUGGUUGUCGUCAGCUCGUGUCGUGAGAUGUUGGGUUAAGUCCCGCAACGAGCGCAACCCUCGUUCUAUGUUG
rnacentral:rRNA from 1 species